UACGAAGGGUGCUAGCGUUGCUCGGAAUCACUGGGCGUAAAGGGUGCGUAGGCGGCUCUUUAAGUCAGGGGUGAAAUCCUGGAGCUCAACUCCAGAACUGCCUUUGAUACUGAAGAUCUUGAGUUCGGGAGAGGUGAGUGGAACUGCGAGUGUAGAGGUGAAAUUCGUAGAUAUUCGCAAGAACACCAGUGGCGAAGGCGGCUCACUGGCCCGAUACUGACGCUGAGGCACGAAAGCGUGGGGAGCAAACAGG
rnacentral:rRNA from 1 species